UACGGGAGGCAGCAGUGGGGAAUAUUGGGCAAUGGAGGAAACUCUGACCCAGCGACGCCGCGUGCGGGAUGAAGGCCUUCGGGUUGUAAACCGCUUUCAGCAGGGAAGAAGCGAAAGUGACGGUACCUGCAGAAGAAGCACCGGCUAACUAUGUGCCAGCAGCCGCGGUAAUA
rnacentral:rRNA from 1 species